GAUGAGAUUUCCCUUAGUUUAUCUAAAUAAGAUCCCUGAAAGAUGAUCAGGUUGAUAGGUUCGAGGUGGAAGUGUGGUGACACAUGGAGCUGACGAAUACUAAUAGAUCGAAGACUUAUCCUAAUUU
rnacentral:rRNA from 1 species